rnacentral:tRNA from 1 species
GGCGGUAUAGCUCAGUGGUAGAGCAUUUGACUGCAGAUCAAGAGGUCUCCAGUUCAAAUCUGGAUGCCCCCU